GGGGGUGUACUUGGUUUCGACGGGGGUAAGGUGCUCCUAGGAAGCGAGUCGAAGGGCUGGACCUUCGUUAAAAAACUGGAACAAAAAUAAACGACGAAAAUUAUUUAUUAGCAGCUUAAUUUAAGCUGUCAUCUUGCCCAGGGUGCCCACGCUUUGGGGUCAAGGUGUCAAUUUAGUGGGGAACCGAGUCUAUCAAAGCUUUGAGGUAGAAACGGAAUUUAUGAAGCUACCAAUUCAGUAGCCUGUUAGUGGGCGCCUGAGGCGGGAAAUUUAAAUCACUGACUGCACUCGGAGAUGCCUAGUGGUUUCUGCUUUCGGACAGGGGUUCGACACCCCUCACCUCCACCA
rfam:Clostridium cellulovorans 743B, complete genome.